UACGUAGGCAGCGAGCGUUGUUCGGAGUUACUGGGCGUAAAGGGUGCGUAGGCGGUUGUUUAAGUUUGGUGUGAAAUCUCCCGGCUCAACUGGGAGGGUGCGCCGAAUACUGAAUGACUAGAGUGCGGGAGAGGAUAGUGGAAUUCCUGGUGUAGCGGUGAAAUGCGUAGAUAUUGGGAAGAACACCGGUGGCGAAGGCGGCUCACUGGACCGAGACUGACGCUGAGGCGCGAAAGCGUGGGGAGCAAACAGG
rnacentral:rRNA from 1 species